AUUGAACGCUGGCGGCAUGCCUUACACAUGCAAGUCGAACGGCAGCACGGGUGCUUGCACCUGGUGGCGAGUGGCGAACGGGUGAGUAAUACAUCGGAACGUACCUUAUCGUGGGGGAUAACGCAGCGAAAGCUGUGCUAAUACCGCAUACGCCCUGAGGGGGAAAGCGGGGGAUCGAAAGACCUCGCGCGAUUAGAGCGGCCGAUGCCUGAUUAGCUUGUUGGUGGGGUAAAAGCCCACCAAGGCGACGAUCAGUAGCUGGUCUGAGAGGACGAUCAGCCACACUGGGACUGAGACACGGCCCAGACUCCUACAGGAGGCAGCAGUGGGGAAUUUUGGACAACGGGGGCAACCCUGAUCCAGCAAUGCCGCGUGAGUGAAGAAGGCAUUCGGGUUGUAAAGCUCUUUUGUCAGGGAAGAAACACCGGCUCUAACACAGUCCGGGAAUGACGGUACCUGAAGAAUAAGCACCGGCUAACUACGUGCCAGCCGCCGCCGUAA
rnacentral:rRNA from 1 species